rnacentral:tRNA from 1 species
GGUUUGUGGCUCAGCGAUAGAGUGCUCACCUAGCAUGUGCGAGGUCCUAGGUUCGAUCCUUAGCACCG